rnacentral:lncRNA from 1 species
AGCUUGGAGGUGACUUGAAGGCCCUCCACUUGGGUGAAUCCCUUGUGUAAACAAGGAUGAGCUUCAAGGGUAAAGAAACUCUAAAUCUUUACUUCUCUUUAAUGUUGUUAAAGAGUUUAUUGGUUUACCAUAUACUAGGCUUUGAAAGUCAUGGGUUUUAUGAAUUGUUUUUGAAUGCAUGUCUACUUUAAAGUGUUAAUAGCUUGCAUAUGUAUUCAAAUGUUCAUACUUGUUCUUAGCUAGGACAAAUUUUUUCCUUCAAUUUCACCCUUAGACUAACGGCCAAUAUGAAUGAACUAUCUGGACCUUAGAGAACAUAUUGCUUUUGUAUGUUUUACAGUUUUAGCCUAUUAUGUUAGACACCUAUCUAUGCUUAUGUUGCGUACAACAAUAAUUAUUAUUUUCGUUUGGUUAUGGUAUUGUUUGAGCCUUGGUAUAGAGAUUCUAUGCACAAUACAUGAUUGAUAGAAGAGUAUUGCGAAAAGGUAUUCGAAUAAUCAAGAUUACGAUGUAAGAAAUUAUGUGCUAUUGACGAUGUCGCCUGAAAAGGUAGUGCGUGAGCAUGAUUGAGGCUUUGAUCAGUUGAUGUCUGUGUAUAUCCCAAUAAGGGGCAAGAUGGUAAUAUUUUACCCUCGGGAAUUUAUCAUUUGCUUAUUGAGACAACAAUGAGUUGUCGGUAUUGUGGGCUGCAAAUCGUAAUAUUGAUAACUUAUUUGUUGGAUUUGUUAAGCAAGUGGACAAUUAGGCCAUUUACGUUAGUUUAUUAUUUAUUGUUUGGGCUUGACCCAAAGAAUACUGCACUUAUUCUCAGAGUACGUGACGCUACGAGUGCGUACAACUAUCUCAAUUCUACAUUAUAUUAUAUAUGUAUUUUGACGAUAUGUUACUAUAUAUCUAUUUUUAACUUUAAGUUUUCAUAACAGAUUUUAUAUUUUAGUAUUGUAUUGAAGGAGGAGGAAAGUUUGAGUUUGGAGGCAUGAAAGAGGAAUCAUUGCAAUCUGAUUGCGACGGAAUAACAUUCUCUUUUAUGCAACCGCUCUAGCUCGAUUUCUUCUUUAUGUAUUUUCUAUCUAUCUUUCGGAGUAAUUUAUGUAUAGCAACGUAUUUCAAAUUUCAGGGCCGAAUUUUUUUUAAGAUGGGUAGAUUGUGACAACCCGUCCCUAAUUUUAUGAUUUUAUUGAUUUUAAAAGAGUGAAUUGACGAAAAUGCCCUUAAAGGCUAGAUUGUUGAUUUUUGUUGACCGUCUUUUCAUGAUGUGUAUUAGUUAUUAUUUUAUCAUAUUCUCAAAGAUGAAUCGAAAUUGGAGUUACAGUUAAAAUUUUACAAAAUAUCGUAUACUGAAGGCAAAUUGGUAAUUUCACAUUUAGAGAUAUUUUGUAUUGUUUUAUGAGACAUGUGGGGUCCACGUCCCAUUCUUUCACCUCUCUUGCGCCUCCCUAUCUCUCAAGACGCAUUCUCUCUCAUUUUUCAAACCUCCCUCAUUUUACUCCUCUACUCGAUGACUGCCACCUCACCUUUCCCUUUCAGCUCUUUCUCUUCUCCCGACUUUUCUUUCUCCCUUAACUCUCUCAUCUGUUUGCAACAUUGAACAGCCGGGAGGCGAGGCACCACUCACCACGACGGCAAGCCCACACCUUCACCAUACUUUUCUUUCUCUGUCAUUUGCUCCACCACCCUUUACCUCUUUUCAGCCUUCUCACCCUGCAAGCGCUGCAAGCGCAGAGUAACUACACACACCAUCAUCGCCACUCCAAGAGUUCUCUGACCACCAUCACACAUUUUUAGGCCCUGAAAUGAGGACAUGAACCGUGUAGGAACCCCAAACUCGAGGACCCUCGACCUCUGUAUGAACUCGAGACUUUCCCAAUGAAAAUCUGCUGUACACGGCCUUAGUAACUGUGAAUGAUCUUAGGGUUUAAAACUUGCUUUGGUAGGGUGUGGAGGCGGUUAGACGUCUGGGAAGCAAUUCCCCAGUUUUUGGCAAAGGAAACCGUGACUAAUGGACCACAUUUAUGGGAGAUUAUGUGAUUAUGGACAUCAUGCACUUAUUUACGAGAUAUUGUGCUGUAUUGAAUUCUUGAGAUAUUGCAGGCUACAGUAAGUAUUUUCUUACUAUACGUAGUAUGUAUAUUUUGGAAAUUAUACUUGUUUUACGGCGAGGGGUUAUAAUGUUUUCGAAAAGGUUUUUACAAAACUUUAUUUUUAGGCCCACUCACCCUUGUUUUUCACCCCUCAAGGUUUUAGCAGCUGAACUUUUGUAUCAACGAGGAUUGUUGACAAAUCUUGGUAUAGGUGGUUACCUUCGAUGGUAUAAUUCUCAUCCUACUUUACUACACUUUAUUUAUGCUUUGUCAUCACAUGCGAAAUGGGUUCAUUCCUGCUCACCAGCGCACUCUUAUAUUUAGACACUUUUAGGUUUAAAUUUAUUUACAUUUUCUACAUCACUACACUUUAUGGUUUCGUCACCCUCCGAGUGUGAACCAGCACAACUCGAUUUGGAGUCUAGUUGAACAUUUUAGGUCGGGGUGUGUCAAACUAGGAAGCCGUCUAGGUUGUCAAUUUUCAAAUUCUAGAUGCACAAAGUCAAAUCUAGAGGUCCCCACGCAGACCUCCUCUUCUACCCAAAAAUAACCAACAUACGUCUGUUUGUCUCUCUAUCAAACAAAAUAAGAUGAGAUGUGAGAUCACCGUUGACUGGAUUUUGGGGAAACUUCUGUUGUUGCUGUUAGAUUUUGACAGAGCUUAUGUUUCCGUCAAUCUCAUGUGGAAGAAAAGGAAAGGGAAAAGAGGUAGCGAUGGGGAAUUAGGGCGAGUGAAAGACUGGAAGAGAGAAGGUAGGGGAAGAUAGGAAAGUAGGAAUUUUCGUUUUUCCUUUCAGGAAUUUUUAAACUAAAUUAAUAAAUUUGUUUGUUGUAACUUAUAAUUGAAAUCCAAUUUUUAAUCAAUUAAUACUUUUUAAUUUGCUUUUUGUCCACGUGGCACAUAUUUGGCAUCCAAGUCAGCACAAAUGUGAAAUUCAUUGUUACCACUCAUCACUUAACAACUUAUUUAACAAAUUUUCUAAUGUUGUAUGAAAUUGAAAUAAAAUAUAACUAAAUGUAUGAGAUUGAAAUGUUUUAAAAAUGUUGUAUAAGGUUGCAAUUGCACCCAAACUUGAGAGAGUAAAAUGUAAUUUACUCUUAUAAAUUUAUACUCAUAUGAAAAGAAAUUUGUAAAAAUAAAAAAGUUAAAAAAAAAACACAUAAAGUGUUACCGAAGGCUUCCUUGUUAAUUUUAAACAGCAUAAGCCACCUCUUAUGGUUAAAGUUUUUUAUUAUUACCAAAUUUUAUAAAUCUAUACUUGUAUGAAAAGAAAUUUGUUAAAAUUGAAAACUAAAUAAAUACACAUAGUGUUUCGAACGCAAGACGUCCUCAUUAAUUUUGGACAACAAUGACCACCAAUUCUAGUUAAACUUCUUAAUAUUUUAACCAAAUUUUGUAAAAUUAUACUCUUAUGAAAACAUAUAUGAAUAUACCACCCUAAUUAUUUUGAUGCCCCCAAUUAUUUUGGGCCUCAAAUAGUCGCCCAACCUGCAUUGGGCCAAGAGCGGGCCUGUUGCUAAGAGAAUUUACUCCUAAACACAAGAUUUUGAAGUUUACACCUUGGAAAAACUUUGAUCACAAAUGCACUACAUAGACGUAUAACAUUUUUUAUCUUUCGAGAAAUAUAACACUUUGUUUUAAAGGAAAACUAAUGAAAAGGGCUUGAAAACUUUGAGUUUUAAUCAUAAGGACAAAAUAAAGGGUAAAGUGAAUAGUACCAGGAUUGACUUUUUAGUGUAAAAAUGUGGUUUUUCGUUAAAGUGAACAGUAUCAGGUGCUUUUCGUUAAAGUUCCCUUAAAAUUUCAAAAUAGAACAGAAACAGAAUAUUUCAUCAGACUAGAAUCAAAAUUAGGCUAAUUCAAACAUAAAUCUUCAUUUCGUAGACAUGGUGAUGCAGAACAUGAAAUAAAAAGAUGCAUUUAUUAUGGAGGACUUCCAGUACAUUUUUUGGCUGAUCAUAAUACUACCUUUAUGUAAUUUCAGUUUUCUGUCAUUUUAAUUAGGUUCUUUUUAUUUUCUGAAAAAGUUACAAAAUAGAACUCAGAGCGUUUCUCUAGAAGGUGGUAAGAUUUUGACGUUUUUGUUGAAUGAAAUAUUCAAAGCGUUUCUCUAUGCCAGUUUAGUGCCUUUCUCUUAUGAGAUUGUUUUAGUUUUGUUCUUUUAGUUGUCUAUGUGAGAUUAUUUCAGCUUUUGUUCUUCUAGUUGUCUACGUCGUAGGUUAGUACUAGAACUCAAGUUUAUAGGGUUUUCAAGUCUCUCCUUGCACUUGGACAUAGUGGACCCUAUAUACCUAUCAUUUUAUUUAAUUUUUAUUUUCUCACCACGUUGCGCCCUGGAUCAUUUAGUUAUCAGAGCUUGAGACGGUCUUAGGACUGGCACAUAAUCUUUGUUGAUCGUCAAAUCUGACUCAGUUUCCUUUACUUUUAAUUAGAGAGUUAUACAUCACUGGGAUGCUCUAGGUGUCUAGUUUUCAACGAAACAAACUGUGAAUCAAAUGGAUUUUUGUGUGAGCAGAUAUCAGCAAAACAUCACAGUGUCAAUGGUGUUGCAAAAAUAAUAUCAAUUCUAGUGCGGGCAAGGUUGUGUUCAUUCAGAAUUAUUCAACCUUCAUGCCAUGUAUUUAAAGCCUUUCCAGUCUAGUUUCCAAAUCUUCAAGUGGUUUUCUAGUCCAUUAUUUCUCAAAACGAUAUUAACAUUUUACGAAAGCAUGUCGCUAUUGCCAUUAACUAAGAAAUGGUUGCUUUAGAAUUUUCAAGUAACAACUUCAUAAAUUUUUAUCUUCCUCCAAAGUUCGAUAGUUGUCCAGGUAGUUCUUGUGAAAAUUGGUGUGGAAUAUGUCGUUAUGAUUUUGUGUUUGAUGCGUUGAUGAGCCUAUAAUUAAUUUGGGUACUGGUGGCCAAGAGUUUUCUUUACAGUUUAGAGUGGUUCAUCAAGACUUCUAUUUGAAGCUUAUCAAAAACUUUCAUGAUGACAACAAUCUUGUAAUGGAGUUCAAAAUUGGACAUACAAGAAAACAAAUGAUCACAAUCGUUUUGACAGAAGUGGUAGAAACUUAUGCCAAGUUUCAAUUGCAUGAUCCUGGUUUGGUGGAUUUUAAAAAUGCAUCCACCAACAAGAGGUUGAGUGAAAGGAUUGAUUUGUUAAAGGUAUUAAAUACUAAUGCAUUUUAUCCUUAUCAUAAUACUAUAGUUUGAGUUCAAGAGAUGGCCAACCUUUGUAUAUUCUAUGCAAAUGAUCUAUUUGUAAAUUUGAAAAAGAAAACAAAGUAUGACAAGGCAGAAUGACUGUAAUACUUUGUGAUUUGGAAUUAAGUUUUUACAAACAAAACUCGAGGACGAGUUUUCUUCGGGAAAGGUAGAACGAUGCAGGACAUGAAAUAAAAAGAUGCAUUUGGUAUGGAGCACAAUACAUUAUCGAAAGAUAAAUUUAUUUGCUGGAAUAAAGAGGGUGUUUUAACACACAUUGGCAUAUUACUUCCAAGACGUUUUUUUUUUUUUUGCUGAUCAUAAUAUUUUCAUUAUGUGAUUUCAGUUUUCUGUCACUUUAGUUAUGUUCUCUUUUACUUUCUAGAUGUAAAUUACAAAAUGGUUAUAAAACCCACUUCUUACUGGAAGGUGGUGAGAUUUAGACGUUUUGUUAAAUGAAAUAUUUAGUGUUUCUCUAUGCCAUUUUAGUGCUUUUCUUAUGUGAGAUUAUUCAGCUUUGUUCUUCUAAUUGUUUACGUUGUAGGUUGAUACUAGAACUAAAGUUUAACAAGGUUUCCAAUAUUACUGCCCUGAAUACUUAAGAAGACCUAUGUAAUGCAUUCACAGUCAUCAUUAUAUCCUGAAUCUUUCAGCGAAAUUCCCUUGUUAUAACCUCAAUGUAUGCAAAGAAGUUGCCACGGGAUAAAUAUAUGGUAAAAUUAGACAUAACUUUGACAUACUGAAAUAGAAAUGACAAUAUAAAUAUAAUGGAUGGAAACAACAGUUUGUUCCAGAAAGAAUAGAUUGUUCACCUUGUAUUACUCCUCUUGCCAAUAUUCUUCUUGACACGCAACCAACCACUUCUUAACCUUUUCUAGUAUUUCUUUCAUGCUUAAAGCUUCCUCUUGAACCCUACUGAUUUGGAGAUCAAUCUGUUCGAACAGGCAUGCAGGGUCCAAAUUUCUCGCAAAGUGCUAAAACUGCUAAUGAGAGGACAUUUGAAUUUUCUAUGAAUGGUCAAAUGGUAAGACUUUGUUGUUCUAAGGCACCAGUUUCAGUACUGGUCCGAAAGGGCAUGGGUUUGAAUCCCAUUCUUGAUAUAUUUUUCACUUAGUGGGAUAAGGCUUUGUUAUUGCUGUUGGUCAAAUGGUAAGACCUACACAAGAAAUGGCAGUUUUACACAUCAAAAAUAUACAGUCAAUGUGCCAUCACCAAGCUCUCAAUAAAGCUAUCAAGUCUCUUAGUGUGAUAAACGUAACCAUUAAUUGGAUGGCAGCUAUAAAUUGCAGUAAGGAAUAGAUAGACAAUAUGAGGGAUGAAACCAAUAGAAAGAAUUAUCAGACUCUACAGCUUGAAUUGAGGAUUCCAUUGAACAAAAGGUUUCUGUAACCAUGUGAGACCGCUUGCAUAUCUCAUCCAGUUCCAGCUUCUUUUUCUGAAUAAUCUCUUUUAGCUUACUUGAUUUGAGUUACUGCAACUUUGACACUUCUACCUCAACCUGUAGAAGAAAGUCUAUAAAGUUAGCAAAGUAUAUUUGAGAUCAAAUGAGCGCAUAACAAAUAUUUUCGGCUCUAAAAUGGAACUGAAAUUAAAACACUCACAUGAUAUAGAAAUUCUGUAGACAGCACGUCAGGCUCAGUGAUUUCAGAUUCUGAAGCAGCUAUAUGACUAGUUACAUUAUGCAACUUAUUUUGUUCCUCUAUUGGUGUAUCUAUCAGAUUCCACAAUCCCAGCAGAACAAUGGCAUGACCUUGAAGCUGUUACAAAUGUAAUGGUCAUAGAGGCUAAAAAUAAAGUGAUAAUAAAAUUACAUGUUUCGCAACAAGAAAAAUACAACUGCUUUUUCAAUCGUUGUUCCGAGUUUGCCAAGCUAUCAAUUGAAAUACUCCUAAGUACCUCUAUACACUCUUGUUUGAUUUUUAGAAACAUUGCACCCCUUUCGACAUCAGGCGCUCCAACUUCAUACCAUAUUUUCGGAUUUCAGAUAUAUUAAAGUGAUGAAUGACCAAAAAUAAAAACUCUACAAUCCAGAUUACCAUAUAAGUAGAACUAGUUAAAUACCUACAGCUCCUGCAACAAAGAUUUAAACUUUGUUUCCAUAUGCGCAAACUGAUUACUGCCUUGCAGAUUGAAUAUAGUGAGGUACCUACCACUGAAAAUGGCAACAAACUCUGUAACUGUAAGAUUCCCGUGAGAAGAACUCACAGCUAAACUAGCAGAGUUUCAAAUCCUUCAAUUAUGAGAAAGAAAAAAAUGUCAAAACAUACUACAUUCUCAAAAUGUAUGCCUGUUUGGGAUUGUUUCAGCGGCUUUCAAAUGACCAAAAACAAUUUAUAUAACAUUUGACUAACGUGUUCAAAAAUCAAACCCAAAUUGAUCGGUAUGCAUGAAUUUGGGCAUAUUACAUUGUCUUUAGAUUCAAAAACCUACAUGAUUAGAUCAAAUGACAUUUGAAACUAUAGAAAACUAUGAGUAACUCAAACUAAUAAGUACAUUCGACUCCAAUGCAGACUAUUUGGUUUGUUCUAAAGCUUCUUUAGUCCUGUAGGAAUUCUGAGUAAUUAAUUUCUUUGAAAAAAAAUCGUGUAUUGUACAUUAUAUAACAGAUACACUUUUCUUUAGCAAUCUAUCUCAUAUACCAAAAUUUUUCAUUCUAUAUCAUAGUAUAACUCUAAUUACAAUAAUGAAUUAUGAAACUUUACGAUGAACCAUAAAUUAUGAACUUCUAAUCCCUUCCAAAUAGUAAACAAAUAAGCACAAAUGGCAAUAAUCAAAGGCUUCAAAGCACAACAGAACAGAUACUUGUUCCAAUUUUGUAAUUUGGUACCAGGCGGCAGAAUACUCUACAAAUAAAAAUUCAACUUUGCACAGUAGACUAGUCAAAUGAGCUAGUCAAAUAGUCACAAGUUCGUCAGUGAUAUAAAGUGCAAUUGCAAGAACAAAUCCUAAUUGACUAGUAUGUCCAACUAGUCAGAGUCUACCCAGAUCAGUUUCAGAACAGCAAAUCUCAAACUUGAACACAUUCACAUAUUAGUUCAUUAUGCAGACAACAAUGACAAAGCAAUUAUGAAUUAAAGUAUGCUGGAUUGACUAGUCAAGCUCACUAGUCAACUAAGUACAUAUUCGUCAGUUAAUCAAACGCAAAUCUACGAAUCAAACUUAGUUCACUACAAGUUAUUCUAGUCAACAACAAUUCAGUUCAUUGCUCAUAAUAUGCAGCAUAAACUUAGACGCAAACACAUAUCAAUAACAACCCAUAUGAUGCAUGAAACAUAUGCUAGUAAAUAAGAUAUGUGAACAAGUUUAAGAGACAAAGAACACAAGAAUUUUUUCACUGGAAUAACCCAUAUUCGGGUAAAAAAACUGGGGACUCACCACUGAGUCCAAUCCACUGGUACAAAUAAAGUUCUUACAAAGUACCAUGCAAAGCUCAAUUUCUAGACCUAGUCUACAAAGCAUCUUUAACUUUGUGCAACCUUACUUUGCACGAGUUGAGAAUUCUUUCGGUCUUCACAAAGUGGCAGCUCUUCCUAAGCUUUUCACCUUGUGGCACAAAAAUGGAGUUCUCUCUAGUCUUCAUAAGAUGGCAGCUCCUUCUGAACACUUCACUUUGUGGCACCGAGACCAACACCAAAAAAUGCACAUGAUAUGAUAAUGAUGAGAGUGUGCAAUCUGGAUUCAAUGAUUAGUCAGUUUCUCCGGUCAAACAGUUGAAGGAAGAAACUGAUGAAAAUCUAAAAAUGGACCGGUUUAAAGAUUUGAAACUUGAAGAACUUGACCACCAAGUUAAAACAAAAUCAUGAAGACAAUGCUACCCUAAUAUGCAAUGAUUGGGUGUUGGGUGUUUGAUGCAUGAACAUGGUUUUGUUGCUGGGGUUUCAAUGAAGAACACAAGAGGUAACUCAAAACUAAAAACACUAUUUUAAAAAAAAUGUGAACUUCCUACCCAAAACAAAUGAGCAUAUUAAAAAAGAUUUAAGUAAGCAAUUUCAAAGAUAGAUUUAUAAAUAUUCAAUAAAGAACAUUACCCAGAAAAAAAAUGCUUGAUGCUCCUUGGGGAUUUGAGAUGGAGAAGAAAGAAUAAAGCUCUCAAAAUUUUCCUAUCUCAGUCAAGAAACAAAUGAAACCUACAUAAUCAUAAUAAAAGAAAAUGUUUGUUUCAGCAUCCAAUGACACAAAAGACACUUAUCAAAUGUAAAAGCAAUCUGACCAUAUCAAUGGUGAAAAACUCAAUCCCGUAUAAAGGGUGUCAGUCAGCCCAUAUGGGCUGUGUUCAAUUGCGUGCCCAACUAGCUGGAUAACAAUGAGAAAUUCUUACGAGACAAUGUCACUAGUUGAAAUGCAUCAGUAAGUUAAUGUGAAAUGGAUAUGUAUAAACAAACCUUUGAGGUGAAAUGCCACAGCCUUGAACACUUAUUCCUAGUAGCAAGAACCCUUAAGGAAAUAUUCUAAAAACUAAUUGGAGCAUGUGUGACACAAUUACAAUAUUGAUAAGCAAAUCCAAAUACAAAAGUCUGGACUUCACAAAUUUCCGUUCAAUGUUCCCUUUUAUUCCUGCAAAGCUACAUAAUUAUAAAUAAAUGGAAUCAAAUGACAAUAUCACUCCAUAAAAUUAAAUAGAAUUACGAAUAAAUCACUGCAUUGAGUACCUAAAAGUGGAGCAUAAAAAACACUACAUUUUCUAGGUAGAUUUUCCUGGGAAACAAACAAAACGUAAGGAAGAAAACGGACCUUAUCCCUGCAGAGCGUUGCAGGUGAUCGAUAAGAUAAUGACAAAUGCGAAUUAUGAAACCUUAGCGAGUGUAAGUAAAGCGUGAGUCUCUCUCUCUCUCUCUCUCUCUCUCUCUCUCUCUCUCUCUCUCUCUCUCGGUGUAACGUUUAGAUUUUUUUGGUCGAGGGAGCGCGAAGGAAAGAGGAGGGGAGAGUUAUAUUAGGAAAUGUGAAUAAUGUAUGUUUUGAUUAAGACACUGCAUCGUAUGAUUUAUGAUCAGAUGACGUGAUGAAAUAAAGGACGUAUGAUGUGAAAAAGGAAGAAUGUUUUGAAUUUCAAAUUUUGAUAAUUGUGGGACCAUGAUUUUCCAGGGCCUAAGUAAAGCUGAUCUAAAUACUGUUACCGUAAAAGUUCGAUCAUGGACUCACAGCUCCAGGUGGAGCUCUAUCAGACGGAGCAAGGUGCCACCAUCAAUCUACUCUGAAGCACUAGGUGGAAUCCAACCGACUUUGCUGGAUGACCGUGCUUGUUCCGCAAGACAAGCGAUUUGAUCCGGAUAGGACACAAUCAAAUCUUAUAAGUCUUGGAUUCGCUACAACCUAGGGAUAGAUGCGCACCGCAAGUAAUCACACUCCAAAGAGAAUGCAAUAUCUACUUACUAGAUAUCUUCUAGGAUUCUUCCGGUAUAGAACGAGGAUUCAAUCCUAAAAAGGUAUUUGUCCCACGGUACAAAUACACCAAUCUAGGUUCAUCUACGAUAACGCAAUCUAGACACUUGAAUUUUAUUGCCCCGUUUCUUGAGUCUAAAAUUCAUUCACUAGCUUGACCGUCGGAGAGCCUUUGGCCGGCACACUCUCUUGGCCUAAGGUGUGCUUAUAGUUGUUUCAUUGUUUUGUAGAUUGCUCAGGAUUACAUGGAUUUGUGCUCAACCGCUGCUCACGGAAAUACGCGCUCACGGAAAUGCGCAUAUUUGGUUCCAACAGUAAUCAUUCCAUGAAUUUUCUUUUUUCCAAACUAAACGUUCUUGAUUUAAUUAAAGGAGAAACUAAUGAAAAACCUUUAAAAACUUUGUGCUUAAUCAUCAAAACCAAAAUUAUUUGGUAAUACUCAAAAUGUGCAUAAGGAAAAGAUGACAAAGCAGUGCUCUACGGAGACAAUUCCAAAAGGCCAGCAGGAAGUUCACGUGGUCUUCAUGAAAAUAAAUGGUAAAGGACAAAGAAAGGAUAGCCACAAAAUGAAGAAAAGGACAAGCAAAUAAAAACACUGGCACUCAUACUUUUAGAAACUGUGCAACAAAUUCAAAAACAGAAAUUUUUUGAAGGUCACUUUUAGAAACAGUUGUACAUAAUUGUACAACUUUAUAAAAAGCAUUUUUGUAGUUUAGGACCAAUUUGUGUAUAAGAGAGUCUUCCCUCCUUCAUUAUAGACACCUAAACUUUAGACAUACACACCACUCAGUACACCUCAACCCGCAGAGCUUCCGAAGCUUUCCUUUCCCAUUUGUAAACUUCCUUCUUUGUAAGCAUCCUUUGUAAUCAUCUUCUGUAUAUAAAUAAAAGAGCAAGUGUACAUAUUCAAGCAAUCUUUAGUGUUAAGUAAGUUUUUAUUUCUUUCUUUUAGUGUGUUUGUUUAAUCAGACUUUCCAUUACAAAAUAGGGAAACACUAUUGUAUUUAUAUUAUUAGCUUACUAAAUUUAAAAUCAUACUUUGUUCGAGCACUAUGUUAUAGUUGAAUAUUUUCCAUACAAAUAACUGAACAUAACCAGGGUACCUAUGAGUUUUUUGUAUCUUUGAGUUCAACCUUUAAGACUUUAUCCCUGCAUUGUGAGUGCCAUCAUGUUGAAACAUGUCGAGCUUCAUGUGCAAGGUUUUAAGUGUGACAGCCCGUCCCUAAUUUUAAGAAUUUUUAAAGUUUUAAUAAAGGAUUUUACAAAAAUGCCCUUCGAGGCACGCACAUCAUUCGAGGUUAAUCGUUGUGUCGUGCCAUCUAAGAUUUGUUUUCUUGACAUAUCCUCGUAGUACUCGUCGUUACGGACGUGUGGGCGCAGACGGUUCGUGAUUUGGAGUUAUAUCGAAGAAGUUAUUAACGUUUGAAAUUUGGAAUUUUAAGGAAUUAUAAUUUUAGUAAAAUAUAGAAAUUCUUUUAUGAAAUUGGACGGCCCAGAUUUAUUGAUGAAUGAAAUGGAUGGCUGGGAUGAGGGAAAGGUUUUUGGUGUGUGUAUGUGUAUGAGAAGAAGAAACAGAAAACAGAAAAAGAAGAAAGAGACUGGGCAGAAAUGCCCAAUCGGAGAAGAAGAAGGUGAGAGCAAACCAGAAGAAGGGAGAGGAAGAAGCUGACCAAUCAGGGGACGGAAAGGAGGGAAAGGAGGGAAAGGAGGGAGAGUGGUGGCGCGGGGAACAGGAGGAAUGGGUCACCCUUGACCCGCGCGACCCAAGCUUCCAAAUCGGCGGGUUUUUCGCCAUUUCCGUCCAAAUUUCCGACGAAUUGAGUCAAGGUACCACUCCUAAUCAUCAUCUAGGCCUUCCCUCUUUACGUUUCACCCAAGAAUCAUUGAAUUUCGUUGUGAUUUCGCGAAGAACACCCCUACGGGUGCCGCGACCCUUUUGUUUAAAUUCUCCAAAUUUUGAAAUGUUUUCUUUUCAAUUACUAACACCUUUAGCAUUCCUUUAGGACCUAGAACAAAGCCCAAGAGGUAAUUGAGGCGUUGGAACAAGUUUGAAGGUCGAAUUGGAAACACCCAAAUUCUAGGGUUCUUCACGGUUUUGGUGAAAUUGAAGCACUUCCAGGCCAAAUUGGCCUUGGUCUCAGGUAUGAAAGUUGUUUCUACUCAUUGAGAUCUUCAAAUCUGCAAAUUUUGGUAAUUUUUGGAAAUAGUUGAAUUUUCCGGCGAGCCGGGGGCGGCCAACCGCCACCCGCGGCGGCCCGCGCGGCGGCGCGUGGCCAAUGGCCGCCAAUGUCAUUAUUAGCUUGUGAUUAAGGUUCUAGGUUCUGUUUUGAUAAUUGAUGGACGUAAAUUGAAUAAUUGAACCUAAGUUGGUUACGAUUCGGGGUUAGGUGAAAAUGUGAAUUGACGAUCCGACCGUUGGAUCGUCAUCAAACUUUGAUACGUUGUAAUACGUAAUAUUUGAGGAUUAUAGGAACUUACGGAUUGGGAAUCCGAUUUACGGAUAUUCCGGAAUUGGAAUUGUAAGUUCAUAAAAUAGAAUGUUAACCCGUCACUUAGUUUUGGAAAUUGACGGAGAUCCGACCGUUGGAUGGUAACGAAAAUUUUAGGAUGUUGUCCUAGAGGUAUAUUGUGGACCUCUGGAAGUUUCGGAUUUGAAAUCUGAAUUGCAGAUCAUCCGGAUCGAACUACGUAGUGACGUGUCUUAUAUAAGUUAUGUAUUCUAUCGGCAGGAUUUCUGAGGUUGGGUUUGAUUAUUGUUCUAGGCGCUAAUCUUCAUGACGCCUUGAUGUGUGGUGCUAGGGAGUUGUUGAGCGAACUCCAGGUGAGUGGGCAGUUUUUUGUUUUCGUAUUACCUUUAUACUAUAAAUUUUUUCCCAGAAGAUGAAUUUAUACGAAAUUAUGUUUUGAAAAUGCCAUGCAUAGAAUUAUUUGGAAAAGGUGAAUUUCACAUGAGUUAUAUGAUUGAUAUAUGAUGCAUACAUGUUGCAUGGUGCUGUGGAGGCACAGGUAAGUCAGGUGAGUUCAUUAUUCAUUUAAUUGAUUGUUGAUAAGAUGUUUCAAGCUCAUAAACCUGCACCCUAGGUGUUAGUGCUUAUUUUAUUCACCACACCGCACGCUCGCCUUGGAUCCAAGUAGGUGGAUGUCGUACAGACCAUGUGAGGGUUCCGACAUGCUAGUCGUAUAGAUCACUAGGCGUGAUUCCGACUAGUGGGUGAUCUUAGUUAUGCGCGCUGAUGAUUGAUGAGAGAAGCACUAGAGCGUAUUUUUACACCUUUCAUCGUACAGACUACCUUACGUAGUUCCGAGUGAUGUGCAGAGUAGGGCCGUAUAGGUCACUGUGGUGACUCCGGCUUAGUGAGAUAUUGAGCUAUUGAAUUAAUCGUAUAGGACCAACUGCAGGGUCUCCGAUUGAUUCCUUAUUUCACCUGAUUUAUAUUUUGAUUUAUGGCAUGGCAUGUUUUUCUUGAAAAAUGUUAAAGAUUUGGGAUUCAAGUUUUGAGAUUUCAUAUGGUUAUAUAUAUAUAUUUUUCUGAAAAGUGUUAAAGGUUUGAGAUUUGAGAUUUUUGCUUAUAUAUAUGUUUAUAUAUAUGCUAUUUUCUGGGAAAGUAUACAGGUUUUACGGUGAGGGGUUAGAAAUAUUUUAAAUGAAAAGUUUUCGAAAAACUUUGUUUUACUGACCCACUCAAUUUUGUUUUGCGCCCCUCCAGGUUCAAGUUAGCAGAGCUUUGGUGGCCACGAGGAAUCCAACGGUGUUCUGACAGAAUUCACAAAAGUAGGACUCACCCUCGGGUGUGUCAUCUUAGUAAUUGGAAAUUUUUUUUAAAGCUUCUGAACUAUGUAAAUGGUUACGUCACUCUCACGUGACGGCCAGCACGCCCUCCUUCGGGACGGGGUGUGUCAGUUGGUAUCAGAGCCUAGGUUGCAAUUCUGGACAUCUUGAGAAUUUCCUAGUGUCUUCUGUCAGAACUAUACCGCCUCAUAGCGAGCCACGUAGUUCGGAUGAGCCUAAAUUCCCUGAUAUAGUAGUUUGGGGGGAAAUUAUUGUCACUAUGAUUCAGUCUAUUAUCUAAAGGAACCUUUGAGACUGAUUAUAAGUUAAAUUUGAAUACAGACUUGCCUUGUUUCCAUUCGGGAUGUUGUUACUAAUCCGGUCGAGGUGUUAUGUCGUUUUUGGCGGGAUAAUAAGAAGAAGUGACGUUCUUUGGCGACCACAAUCCAUUGUACUUUUUUACCAGGAGUUUACGAGAUGUUGUUGGGCUUUGAGGACUUUGAGAAUAUGAUCAGCGAGAGUAAAGAAGAAUAAGAAAAGAAUGGUAAUUAGAGGAAAGGUGAGAAAGUUAAAGAUCCGUCAUAUCAAGGACGUCGAAAGACUCAGAGCUUCAAAAGAAGUGAAGUUAGAACUAAUUCUUCCAACUGAGGUUUUAGUGCCACUGGUCCGAGGCGAAGUGAUAGAUUUACGGGUGAUCCCAGAUCUUAAAGACAAGGGGUGACUCGAGUAAGGGAAAUGUACCUUUGUGCCAUAGGUAUAAUAUUAGACACUUUGGAGAGUGUGGGAAUCAGUGAAUGUGUUCAUGUGGAUGGAUGGGACAUAGAGGUAUGAAUUGUCCCUGGAAUCAGUUGUUACCCAAUAGUCUUCCUUAACAUAUCACUUGGAAAUAUUGACGAGUAAGUCGUACAGGUCACUAUAUGUGACUCCGACUUAUGUGCUAGCAUGGAUGGUCGAGUUGUAGACUCAGUCGUACAGGUCAUUCUAGCUGACUCCGGCUGAUAUAUUUCUUAUUAUGGUCGAUGUUGCCAAAGAAAGUAAUGUUGGAGCACGAUCGAGGCGUAUUUAUGUAUUUCUAAGGAAGAACAAGAUGAUAAUAUUACACCCCUCAGGAAUUGUUACUUAGUUAUCGAGACAACAGUGAGUUAUUUGUAUUGCGGGCUGCAGACCGUAAUAUUUAUAACUUAUUUGUUGGAUUCGUUAAGUAAGUAAACAAGUAAGGCACUUUAUGUUGAUUUGGUUUAUUAAGGGUGUCCAGUGAUGGUGAAAAAUGUCAUGUCAGUGAAUUUUAUUCCGUUGGAUAUUAUGGAUUUUGAGGUGAUUUUUUUUGGCACCAGUGCGUGCAGUAUAAUUGUGUCAAGCUAGAUUGCUAUGGGGAAUCAGUUAAUUUUUGUUGACCUGGAUGACCAGAGGUUACUUUUAGGGGUAAGUAAAGUGGAGUGAGUUAUGCCAUUAUUCCUGUUGAGAGAGCAAAGAAGAUUGUUAUCAAAAGGCUGCCAAGAUAUUGAGUUCAUAUGGUGCUAAAUGAUGUUGAUCCUAAUAGUAUGGAAGAUGUAAAGAUGGUUAGACAUUUUCUUGGUGUAUUCCCAGAUGACUUACCUAGAUUGCCGCCAGGCAGAGAUGUGGGUUCCAUUAUUGAAUUGUUUUUAGGUACAAAUCCUAUGUUAGAAAUUGGUUCAGGUUGAGUUAAAAGUUCCAUUCAACUUAUUAUAUCACAUUGGAAAAGCUCCGGUUUAUUUGUGAGGAAGAAAGUGGACAUUAAGGCUAGGCAUUGAUAUUAGGUAAUUGAAUCGGGUAACGAUUGAGAGCUGUUAUCCAUUGUUGUGUAUUAAUGAUUAUUUGAUCAGCUCUGAGGCGCCUGGGUACUUUCUGAGACUGACUUGAGGUCUGAAUGAUAUUAGUUGAAGAUUAACAGUGGGGAUGUCCAUAAGACUGAAUCCAGGACUCGUUAUGGUCAUUUCAAGUUGGGAUGCCAUACGGAGUGACGAAUGCACCUACUAUUUUUAUGAGCUUACUGAAGGAAGUAUUCCAGUGAUAUCUAGAUCGGUUUGUUGUUGUUGCCAUUGACGAGAUUGAUAAGAUUAGAGCAGUGCAUGCUAGAUAUUUUAAAGUUGGGUGUUGCAAAGAUUGAAGGAACGUUGAUGUAUGCUAAGUUUAGCAAAUGCUAAUGUUGGAUAAAUUAAUUAUAUCUACUUAAGGUAUUCAAGUGGAUUCUUAAAAGAGUAGCAACGAUUGAGAAUUUGGAACAAUUGCGAACCGUGACUGAGGUUUAGAGUUUUCUCGGAUUAGCAGGAUAUUGUCGAUAGUUCGUCCAAGAUUUUAAUUAUUGCUUCGCCCUUGGCGAGAUUGAUGAGAAAAGAGGUUAAGUUUGAGUGGGAUGAAAAAUUGUGAGUAGAGCUUCAGCAAGUAAAGUAUUCCCUCACUCAUGCAUCUGUUUUCGCACUCCCAAACGAUAGUGGUAAUUACGUAGUCUAUAGUAAUACUUCUUUGAAUGUUCUUGAAUGCGCGUUGAUGCAACAUGGUAGGAUGAUUGCCUAUGCUUCAUGGCCAUUGGGAUCUCAUAAGAUGAAUUACCCUAAUUAUAAUUUGGAAUUAGCAGCUAUCAUCUUUGCUUUGAGAAUUUGGAGACAUUGUCUUUAUGGGAAGAAAAGUGCAUGAUUGUUACAAAUCAAAAGAGUACCCAAUAUCUGUUUAUUCAGAGGUAUCUUAAUCUUAGGCAACAAAGGUGGAAUGAGUUGCUUAGUGAUUAUGAUUGUGUGACGAGGGUGGUCAAGCUAAUGUUGUGGCUGAUGCAUUUAGUAGGAAGACCCCAGUGAGAAUUAAUGCUUGGUAUGCUUGCUAUGUUCAUCUUCUUGUGGAUUUGAAAUCUACUGGAGUAAAGUUGAGUAUCAAAAAUCGAGAAGAAGCCUUACUUGCUAAUUUCUAAGUUGGACCCAUUUGGUAGAUCGUACUCGAUACUCAAGCGUUUGACGAAGAAAUUCAAGAAUUUAUUUAAAGCAAGGAAUAACGGGAUAAAGAAGGACCUUAGAGUUAGAGAAUCAGAUGGCAAGCUUAUGCAAGGGAACAAAGUGUUUAUGCCUAAUGGUGUGGAAUUAAAUAAAGCAAUUUUGACGAUGUACAUUAUUCCACUUCUACAAUGCAUCCCAAAAGUACUAAGAUUUAUCAUACCAUUCGUUCAUGUACUAUUGACGGGUAUGAAAAGAGGAACGGCGAAGUAUGUUAGUAGGCGUAUCAUCAGUCAUCAGGUUAAAGCAGAAAGAAAUAAGUCUUUUGGAAUAAUGUAGUCAUUUCCCAUUCCACGGCGGAAAUGGGAGAAUAUUACUAUGGAUUUCAUGGACAAGCUUCCUCGUAUACCAAAUAGUUAGGUUGGAGUUUGAAUAAUAAUUGAUUGAUUUGUGACGUCAGCGCAUGUUACUUCAGUAUGAGAACAUCAACCUUUCCAGAUAAGCGCAACAGUCAUUUAUUUGUUUUAUGGAAAAAGGAGAUUGGGAUCUGUUAAACUUCUUGGGUAUGUUGGUUCCUUCAGUUUGUUCCCUAGAGUAACGCCAUAAGGCCGUGGAAAGCUAUGUCUUGUGUUUCGAAAUUGUUAGAAUUGGGGACGGAUGAUAUUCAAGACUCUGAGUUUGGUGAAAAUUUAUGGAGGAAUCUUUCAGUGGAAGAAAACUACUUGAAAGUCAAAGAAUCGAAUGAGAGAGAUGUGUGUUUCGGGCUGUUUCAUGGAUAUUGAUGGAUUGUAAAGAUUGUGUAAAUUUCGAGGACGAAAUUUCUGUAAGGUGGGUAGAUUGUGACAGCCCGUCCCUAAUUUUAAGAAUUUUUAAAGUUUUAAUAAAGGAUUUUACAAAAAUGCCCUUCGAGGCACGCACAUCAUUCGAGGUUAAUCGUUGUGUCGUGCCAUCUAAGAUUUGUUUUCUUGACAUAUCCUCGUAGUACUCGUCGUUACGGACGUGUGGGCGCAGACGGUUCGUGAUUUGGAGUUAUAUCGAAGAAGUUAUUAACGUUUGAAAUUUGGAAUUUUAAGGAAUUAUAAUUUUAGUAAAAUAUAGAAAUUCUUUUAUGAAAUUGGACGGCCCAGAUUUAUUGAUGAAUGAAAUGGAUGGCUGGGAUGAGGGAAAGGUUUUUGGUGUGUGUAUGUGUAUGAGAAGAAGAAACAGAAAACAGAAAAGAAGAAGAGACUGGGCAGAAAUGCCCAAUCGGAGAAGAAGAAGGUGAGAGCAAACCAGAAGAAGGGAGAGGAAGAAGCUGACCAAUCAGGGGACGGAAAGGAGGGAAAGGAGGGAAAGGAGGGAGAGUGGUGCGCGGGGGAACAGGAGGAAUGGGUCACCCUUGACCCGCGCGACCCAAGCUUCCAAAUCGGCGGGUUUUCGCCAUUUCCGUCCAAAUUUCCGACGAAUUGAGUCAAGGUACCACUCCUAAUCAUCAUCUAGGCCUUCCCUCUUUACGUUUCACCCCAAGAAUCAUUGAAUUUCGUUGUGAUUUCGCGAAGAACACCCCUACGGGUGCCGCGACCCUUUUGUUUAAAUUCUCCAAAUUUUGAAAUGUUUUCUUUCAAUUACUAACACCUUUAGCAUUCCUUUAGGACCUAGAACAAAGCCCAAGAGGUAAUUGAGGCGUUGGAACAAGUUUGAAGGUCGAAUUGGAAACACCCAAAUUCUAGGGUUCUUCACGGUUUUGGUGAAAUUGAAGCACUUCCAGGCCAAAUUGGCCUUGGUCUCAGGUAUGAAAGUUGUUCUACUCAUUGAGAUCUUCAAAUCUGCAAAUUUUGGUAAUUUUUGGAAAUAGUUGAAUUUUCCGGCGAGCCGGGGCGGCCAACCGCCACCCGCGGCGGCCCGCGCGGCGGCGCGUGGCCAAUGGCCGCCAAUGUCAUUAUUAGCUUGUGAUUAAGGUUCUAGGUUCUGUUUUGAUAAUUGAUGGACGUAAAUUGAAUAAUUGAACCUAAGUUGGUUACGAUUCGGGGUUAGGUGAAAAUGUGAAUUGACGAUCCGACCGUUGGAUCGUCAUCAAACUUUGAUACGUUGUAAUACGUAAUAUUUGAGGAUUAUAGGAACUUACGGAUUGGGAAUCCGAUUUACGGAUAUUCCGGAAUUGGAAUUGUAAGUUCAUAAAAUAGAAUGUUAACCGUCACUUAGUUUUGGAAAUUGACGGAGAUCCGACCGUUGGAUGGUAACGAAAUUUUAGGAUGUUGUCCUAGAGGUAUAUUGUGGACCUCUGGAAGUUUCGGAUUUGAAAUCUGAAUUGCAGAUCAUCCGGAUCGAACUACGUAGUGACGUGUCUUAUAUAAGUUAUGUAUUCUAUCGGCAGGAUUUCUGAGGUUGGGUUUGAUUAUUGUUCUAGGCGCUAAUCUUCAUGACGCCUUGAUGUGUGGUGCUAGGGAGUUGUUGAGCGAACUCCAGGUGAGUGGGCAGUUUUGUUUUCGUAUUACCUUUAUACUAUAAAUUUUUCCCAGAAGAUGAAUUUAUACGAAAUUAUGUUUUGAAAAUGCCAUGCAUAGAAUUAUUUGGAAAAGGUGAAUUUCACAUGAGUUAUAUGAUUGAUAUAUGAUGCAUACAUGUUGCAUGGUGCUGUGGAGGCACAGGUAAGUCAGGUGAGUUCAUUAUUCAUUUAAUUGAUUGUUGAUAAGAUGUUUCAAGCUCAUAACCUGCACCCUAGGUGUUAGUGCUUAUUUUAUUCACCACACCGCACGCUCGCCUUGGAUCCAAGUAGGUGGAUGUCGUACAGACCAUGUGAGGGUUCCGACAUGCUAGUCGUAUAGAUCACUAGGCGUGAUUCCGACUAGUGGGUGAUCUUAGUUAUGCGCGCUGAUGAUUGAUGAGAGAAGCACUAGAGCGUAUUUUUACACCUUUCAUCGUACAGACUACCUUACGUAGUUCCGAGUGAUGUGCAGAGUAGGGCCGUAUAGGUCACUGUGGUGACUCCGGCUUAGUGAGAUAUUGAGCUAUUGAAUUAAUCGUAUAGGACCAACUGCAGGGUCUCCGAUUGAUUCCUUAUUUCACCUGAUUUAUAUUUUGAUUUAUGGCAUGGCAUGUUUUUCUUGAAAAAUGUUAAAGAUUUGGGAUUCAAGUUUUGAGAUUUCAUAUGGUUAUAUAUAUAUAUUUUUCUGAAAAGUGUUAAAGGUUUGAGAUUUGAGAUUUUUGCUUAUAUAUAUGUUUAUAUAUAUGCUAUUUUCUGGGAAAGUAUACAGGUUUUACGGUGAGGGGUUAGAAAUAUUUUAAAUGAAAAGUUUUCGAAAAACUUUGUUUUACUGACCCACUCAAUUUUGUUUUGCGCCCUCCAGGUUCAAGUUAGCAGAGCUUUGGUGGCCACGAGGAAUCCAACGGUGUUCUGACAGAAUUCACAAAAGUAGGACUCACCCUCGGGUGUGUCAUCUUAGUAAUUGGAAAUUUUUUUUAAAGCUUCUGAACUAUGUAAAUGGUUACGUCACUCUCACGUGACGGCCAGCACGCCCUCCUUCGGGACGGGGUGUGUCAUUAAGUCUAGUUGUUAUAAUGCUCAUCCGACUAUUAACUGAGCCUUUGCUUUGAAUUCGGUAUUAAGCCAAGUUUAGCAUUUUAAUAGUAUAAUUAUAAUAAUAAAGUACCUUGAAUAUGGAAGUCAUCAACAACUAAAGCACACACUUGUUUAAUUUGUAUGAACACUGUAUAUUAUUGUUUUUGUAGACCCUGUCAACCACAACCAGUAAGAAUAUAUUAUCCUAGACACCUAACUAUAACUAGCAUAAAAAGAAGAUUAGCCUAUAUUUCUAACUAUAACUAGCAUAACAAGAAU